rnacentral:rRNA from 1 species
UACAGAGGGUGCGAGCGUUAAUCGGAAUUACUGGGCGUAAAGCGUGCGUAGACGGCUAUCUAAGUCGGGUGUGAAAGCCCCGGGCUCAACCUGGGAAUUGCAUUCGAGACUGCACGGCUAGAGUGUGUCAGAGGGGGGUAGAAUUCCACGUGUAGCAGUGAAAUGCGUAGAGAUGUGGAGGAAUACCGAUGGCGAAGGCAGCCCCCUGGGAUAACACUGACGCUCAUGCACGAAAGCGUGGGGAGCAAACAGG